CAGGCUUUCAAAGGUGGGGCAUGGGCUCAGAGGCACAAAUUGGACUGACAAAUGCUGAUAGAGGAGGAGAACACCAUGCAAUAAAAAGAAACACCCAAGCGCAGAUCUGUUUCAACGCAAACGGUAG